rnacentral:rRNA from 1 species
UACGUAGGGGGCAAGCGUUGUCCGGAAUCAUUGGGCGUAAAGAGCGUGUAGGCGGCCCGGUAAGUCCGCUGUGAAAGUCGGGGGCUCAACCCUCGAAUGCCGGUGGAUACUGUCGGGCUAGAGUGCGGAAGAGGCGAGUGGAAUUCCUGGUGUAGCGGUGAAAUGCGCAGAUAUCAGGAGGAACACCGAUUGCGAAGGCAGCUCGCUGGGACGUUACUGACACUGAGGCGCGAAAGCGUGGGGAGCGAACAGG